CGAAAGAGAGAUUAAUACCCCGUAAUAAUUGAACGGCAUCGUUUGAUUUGAAAGCUCCGGCGGUUUGAGAUGAGUAUGCGUCUGAUUAGCUAGUUGGUGAGGUAACGGCUCACCAAGGCGACGAUCAGUAGGGGACCUGAGAGGACUAACCCCCCACACUGGUACUGAGACACGGACCAGACUCCUACGGGAGGCAGCAGUAAGGAAUAUUGGUCAAUGGAGGCAACUCUGAACCAGCCAUGCCGCGUGCAGGAUGACGGCCCUAUGGGUUGUAAACUGCUUUUAUACAAGAGAAAACCCUGGUACGUGUACCAAGUUGAUAGUAUUGUAAGAAUAAGCAUCGGCUAACUUCGUG
rnacentral:rRNA from 1 species